rnacentral:rRNA from 1 species
UACGUAGGGAGCAAGCGUUGUCCGGAAUCAUUGGGCGUAAAGCGCGCGUAGGUGGCUUCGUAAGUCCGUUGUGAAAGUCAAAGGCUCAACCUUUGAAAGCCGAUGGAUACUGCGGAGCUAGAGUACGGAAGAGGCGAGUGGAAUUCCUGGUGUAGCGGUGAAAUGCGCAGAUAUCAGGAAGAACACCCGUGGCUAAGGCGGCUCUCUAGUACGGUACUGACGCUGAGACGCGAAAGCGUGGGGAGCGAACAGG